GGUUCUCUCACCACCAUCAGCAAAUGGAUGGCAAACUUAUUGAUGUCCUUAAAAUAGGGGCUCCCAUGAGUCAAGAACUUCAUAUGUGAUUCCAUGAAGCUUUGUGAACACCAGCUAUGCUUCACCACCAUUAAGCAGUACUACUGAGGAGAUCAACGGCCAAGAACUCCAAGAUUUUCAUGAUCAAGAGCCACCCUUUCCAGCAAGAAUGACCACCAAUGGCUUCAUGGAAGAAGUGGCAUUUGGAGAAUAGUAUGAUUUUGACAGGUAGAGCUGGGAGAGGAGGACACUUCUGAAUGAGGAAGCAGCAUGUUCAAAGACCCACGGGCCACUUGGUUGCACAGGCUGAACCAUAUUCACCUCUAGGAAGCCAUUCAGUAACAGUGUGGAAUUGGCCACAUGGCAGCCCUGCUGGAAAGCACAGGGGGUUCUACUUGCCCAUCCGUGGGUUUGCAAAGCCUGACAGCCCUGCAGGAUUGGCUUGGUCUUGCUGUCCCUCUGGAAGCCCAAAUUCACAACAAUGAACUCGCUUUCUUUCCCUGGAUGAGCUGCUCCCAAGUUCAACACCUCAGUAAGUGCUCCAACAUCCUUCCUGCCACUCCAGCGGGAGCCUCCUCCCCUUCCCCACACCACCCCCAAGCACAAAGUGGAUGUCCCCGUCUCUACCAAUCCUACUUAGUCCUAGAUUCUCACGCCUUCUGCCCACCUCGCACUCCCAAGCCCUUACACAGAUGGUAUCCAAGAUGAGCACUUGAAGAUACAGGCCUGAUUAUCUCAUUCUAACCAACCAACUCUUGCAGAUCUUGAGAUUUUUAAAGCUUCUUUUUAGGCUUCCCUUUGCUAGCAGACUUUUCUCAGUCGGAUUCCAACCUGUCUUUUCAAGCCUCAGGUCCUAUAGCUCUCCACAGGCCUCCCACUAUACACAUACACACAUGUACACACAUGCACAUACAUACACACCAUAAUCCGGCCAUGCCAGUCUAGUUAUUCACAUGUGCAGCCCCUGACAGAGUGCUGAUAUUUG
rnacentral:lncRNA from 1 species